UGGCAUGGGUUACCAUGCCCUUCUCCAGGGGAGCUUCCUGACCCAGGGAUCGAACCCGUGUCUCCUGCAUUAGCAGGUGGAUUCUUUACCACUGAGCCACCUGGGAAACCCAGUAUCUCCUUAGACCAAGAAGGAGUCUUGGUCUAACUGGUUGCACUUGGGCCUCAUGCCAUCGCCUGAUAAGAGCUGGGUGGCAAGAGGUGGGGCCUGAAGGAGGGGCUUCUGUGGGUUCUGUGUGAGAGAGCAUCCCAUGUCGCACCACAGCCAUGUAAAAUGGAGAACAGGAAAUCUCCCUGAACGUAACAAGGGCUGUUAAGGAGGCAAUAAAGAAUGCUGGAAAGCCCGACAUCCCCACCCUCGCCCCCAGACAUCUACUAAGGAACCAGACAGAGGCAGGCAGACUUGUUUAGGAGGCCAUUGUCCAGAUAAGAGUGAGAGAAGUCUGAACUCAACCAGUGGAGAGGGAGUAGAUCCAGAACUUAGAGGAGAUUAAAAACCAGAAAUGAUGAUUGGCUUUUAGGAGGAGAGAGAGAGUGAAGACAAAGACUCCUGUGUGUCUUAGGUAGACAGUGGGGAGGCCCCUGGGAAGAUGGGGAGUGAGUUUGAGGGGCAAGACAGUGGUCUCAGAUACAGCCAAGGGGUCAGGAUCAUAGUCAGGUAGAGCCCAGCAGGCACUUGAGUCAAGGAUCAGGGGCUCAGAAAAAAAUUCCGCUGGGAGUACUGGCCUAAGGCCGUGGCCACUCAAGUAACAGGAACCCUGAGAAUGAGUAAGAUCACCAGAGAAAGAGAAUGGGACGGGGCCCAGGGCAGAAUCCUACGGUACAGUGACACUUGAAGUACCAAUCAAGGUGUGGGUAGGUGACAAAGGAGAAAGAGAAGGAAAGGCUUGAGACAUGCGACAACCAACCAGGUGAGUGGGUUGCCAUGGAAACCAAGGUAGUGAAGGGUUUCAAGGAGAAAGUAAUCAACACUGUCAAAUGCAGCAGAGAAUUCCAUUAAGAUAAAGACAGACUCCCCCCCCGCACCCCCGCCUUUGGAUCUGAUGAUUAGUAAGCUUUGGAUGCCCUCAAUAAGAGCAUUUUGGGGGAGUGAUGGGGCAAAACUUGAAUAAUGUUGAGAUGUGAGGAGGAGGUGAAUUCGUCACCGAGAGUUCUUUGAGGAGUCCGGAAGGAAGACUUGGAGAUGUGAAGGACAAGAGUGGGGAGGUUGAGCAAAGGGAAGACAGGAGCAAGUUCAUAGGCUGAUAUCCACUCCCAGAUUCGAUAAGUGUUGUUUAGUGACAAAGUUGAUUCAUUCCACAUAUUCUAGUUUACCACCUGUUUGUGCCUGGCAGUCUGCCCAGCAUUGUGGAUUCUGUGGUGAAUGAAUUGAAAUAGGCAGAUUUCUGUUCUUGUGGCAUUUAUAUGAUAGUAGGGGAGAAAGAUGUGAAUCACGUAAUCACACACAUAAAUGUGUGAUUUCCAACGUUGACAGAACACACUCUGAAAGAAAGGUAGCGAGUGCUGGAGGAUGUACAGGGCCCCUGCCCCAGGCCAACUCCAGAGGCUUCCCUGCAGCGGCGACACUUGAACCAAGCUGUUAAGGGGACAGAGUUCAUGGGACUGAACAGAUUCGAGAAGAGCCUUCUGGCCAGAGGGACCCGCCCGCCUGUGCACAGAGAGGCGCACUGAGGCCAGAGAGGCAGGCAGGGCUGGGUGGGCAGAGCUCUGGAGGCCGGGGCUGAGCUCCUGUGUACCUCCCGAGAGUGAGGGAAGCGUGUUUGAGACCUGCCUGAAUAUUUCCUGUGCUCUGAGACUGGCUGGUCCUGGAGAAGUCAUUAGAGGAAGCACAGGUGGACUUAGGGAGACAAGUUGGGAAGUUUCUGUUGUCCUGGUGGACAGUAUUUGGACAACACAUUCUGGUCGGUCUUGGUGCUGUAUGGAAGGAAGAUGAGUAAGGAGGGGAGGAGGUGUUCCAGACGACCCCUGAGUUUAGGGCUUGCCUUACUGGUGGUGUGGCACUGAGACAUGCAAGCUAGGAGCUGGGGAGGAAGUGGUUGAAUGCGUGGACCUGGAACCCAGAGUGAGAAAUCACAGAGACCGUUUCAGUACUCCUGCGGGAUCCUGAGUGAAAAUGUGAACUGAAAUGGUAUCAGGUUUCUGGAGCAUUCUGAGGAGAUGAGGGAGGCUGAGGAAGAAGAGGCCAAGCAUCAACAUUUGGGGGCCUGUAGAAAAAAAGAUCCUCUUGGGGCACGGAAAAGAAAGGGCGAGAGAGGUCUUUCAACAGAAAGAUGGAGUGGUCAGCAGUGGUUAUGUGCAGAAAGGUCAGAGGUCA
ensembl:lncRNA